GAAGAUUGUCAGGGUUUGGUGAGUUUGGUCUUGAACAUAUUGCCUUUGAAGUAUUUUUGGAAACACCCGAGCAGGGGUGCGUCACAGGAAGCUGCAUAAAAGGAUCCGAGGAAGGCCAGCUGGCUGGAGAUAAUGGCAGAUCCAGGAGUCCUGGCUUGUGGUGGAGGACAAAGUGUGGGAGAGAUCAGUCAAGGAGAACGUUGACGGGAUGAGUAGAGGAAAGAAGGUCACUCUGGAAUCUCUCAGGAUCCAACAGAAUAGGAAGAGACCUAGGGAAAGAGGCCAGGAUUUCAUUUCCCCAGGACAGUCACAGAAGAGUCAACAGAGGAUUCGGUUCUGGCACCUCCACCCCAAACUUGGGCUACUAUCUUCCAAGGGCGGGAGGGCCCUCUGAUUCUGUUUGUGCAGCUGGCACUGGCCAUGGAGAGCCGCCUCUGGGAGUUGACCGGGUGAGGAAGAAACAAGAAGACAGGGCCUCAACUACAGCAUGGAGUGAUGUAUCAUGAGACCUACGUUAUCAUCUGUGGAGGGAGCUGUGGCCACCGCACAGAUCCCCUCUUCAGGCCAACACAGCCAUCCUUCAGCUGCUGGGGAUAUCAGAUUGGCUGAGGCCAUAUUUCUGAUCAGCUUCUCCCAAUCCUGCCAUCCUCAUUUCCUCACACAUAUGUCUCCUGAGAGCACUCCACGGUAAGCCUCCGGCCCACAACUUUCCAUUUCAUGGUCAGCCUCCAGGGAACCCAAUCUAAGACAGCUUCAAAGAUGUCAGCAUUUUUUAUCAAAGUAGCAAGAAAUGUAAAGCUUUUCCCAGUGAGUUAAUAUGUUUUACUUUCCUUUAACAAUAAGAUUACCAGCUGGUCCAAGGGCCUUUAUUUCUA
rnacentral:lncRNA from 1 species